CGCGUAGGCGGAUUUGUAAGUCGAAUGUGAAAAUCGUGGGCUUAACCCGCGACCUGCAUUUGAUACUGUGAAUCUUGAGUACGGGAGAGGAAAGCGGAAUUCCAGGUGUAGCGGUGACAUGCGUAGAUAUCUGGAAGAACACCGGUGGCGAAGGCGGCUUUCUGGACCGAUACUGACGCUGAGGCGCGAAAGCUAGGGGAGCAAACA
rnacentral:rRNA from 1 species